rnacentral:misc_RNA from 1 species
GAUGAAGAACGUAGCGAAAUGCGAUACGUAAUGUGAAUUGCAAAUUCAGUGAAUCAUCGAGUCUUUGAACGCAAAUUGCGCCCCCUGGUAUUCCGGGGGGCAUGCCUGUCCGAGCGUCAUUGCUGCCCUCAAGCACGGCUUGUGUGUUGGGCCCCGUCCUCCGAUCCCGGGGGACGGGCCCGAAAGGCAGCGGCGGCACCGCGUCCGGUCCUCGAGCGUAUGUGGCUUUGUCACCCGCUCUGUAGGCCCGGCCGGCGCUUGCCGAUCAACCCAAAUUUUUAUCCAGGUUGACCUCGGAUCAGGUAGGGAUACCCGCUGAACUUAAGCAUAUCAAUAAGCGGAGGA